AGGUAAUUGCGGAUAGUCCUUACUAUCUGAGGAAAGUCCAUGCUCACACAAACUGCGACGUUUGUAGUGUUCGUGUCUAGUGAAGUCAUAAGCUAGAGCUUAGACGGCAGUUAAAAAUGCUAAGGGUUUAAGCCUAUGCAUGAGUCAACUUGAAAGUGCCACAGAAACGAGUUAACUAUGAAAGUAGUUAAAUGGAACGCGGUAAACCCCACGAGUGAGCAACCCAAACUUUGGUCGGGGCAUUUGACAAUGGAAAAUGAACCAACGUCAAACUGUUAUACAGAGAUAGAUGAUUA
rnacentral:RNase_P_RNA from 1 species